AUGACUGCAGUAUAGAGAAGAGCAUAUUACAGCUACUAAAUAAAAUGAAAGAAAGUGGUAUAUAUCUAUCUUCUUACACUCCUAGAAGUUAUCCAUAUACAUGAUGUUGGUAAAAGAAAUCUUUAGAUAAAUAUCUGAACGAAGCCUUGCAUGAACAUGUGAUUAUUACUCCCUCCGUUUUAAAAUAGGUGUCUUAAACUUAGUACAACUUUAACCUAGAGCUAGUACAAAGUUGAGACAAUUAUUUUGGGACGGAGGGAGUAUGUAUAAUACUCCCUCCGUCUUGAAAUUCAUUUUACAAAAAGACCCGUUGAUUUAAUCCGACACAACCCGCACUCCGUCCGCGCAGGUCGCUCCUAUCGGACACAACCCACAACUCUCUGCUUGCUCGCCGGCCGGCGGCACAGCUCCCAGUGCCCGUAUGGGCAUCAUGACGCCGCGCCGCGCAGCUCCCCCGUGCGUGAGUCCUGUCAAGUACUCAUAGAUGCAUUAGUAUAAAUUGAUGUUAACAUGCUUUGUUACUGAAUUACAGAAAUUUUCAGAACCUGAACAUUUUCAGUUAGUGGCUCAAAACUCUCCUACUAGGGGAGUAAUCAACCUAGCAUAACCCUUUUGUGACAUUUUGGUGACAUUCUUGGAGUAUCAACUGUUAUGCUUUUUUGUAGAGGGUCGUCUUGAAGCAUCUGUGCAAUUCAGUUGGAGGACCAUAGAUGAUGACCAGAGUGCAGAGGAGGAGGAGCAGCAGCAACACGGAGACAGCAGAGCUGCACCGGAGGGAGGUUGAGGAGAAGCAGUGGCCGGAGCUCGAGGAAAAGUUGUAGACAGAGAUCGAGCAGAAGCUGCAGCGGGAGCUCGAGGAUGCUUGGGAGAGCAGUUUUCGGUGGCUGCGCAGAUCUGGGCAGCGAAAGGGUAUCGCGGCGGCGGCGUAGUUCUCCGCCCGUAGGGAAUUAUAGCUGGAGGGGGUCGCGGUUGGCCGGCGCCGGCCCUAGCAACGUGUGGGCAACAAGCGGAGGAAGACGACAGGCGGAGGGGUCUUUUUGAGAUACCUUUCAGAUUGUGAGGUUUUUUUUGUAAAUUUAGCAAUGAACUGGGCGUCCGACAAUAAUUUUGGGACGGACAGAGUACUUGUGUAUCCACUACUCCGCUUGUCCAUAUUCCAUAGUGACACUGAAACUGAACCGUUCCCUUGCAGUUAAUAAUUGUUUACAGAUGAGGCUACAACGGUGUACAAUUGACUAAUGAUAAUAAACUUAAUUAAAA